ensembl:lncRNA LINC01476 long intergenic non-protein coding RNA 1476
AAAGAUGGAUGCAAAUGCUGGGAAAGCAAGAGUUGAAUUGCUAGCCAUGAGGAAAACGUAAGCCUGAGCUGUUUGCUGGCCAUCUUUGCUUCCACAUGGGGAUGGCCUGCCUGGAAAUGAAGCCACACAGAGAAAACAGAAGAGCAGUGAAGAGAAGGGUAAAAGGAGAGAUCCCAUGACAUGAUUUGCACUCUUAGAUCCAGUUAUGCCUGAUGCAGGACCCACCCCUUGGACUUCCCAUUUCCAGGAGCUAAAACUAGACUGAGUUGAGUUUCUGUCACUGACAGUUGACAGAAAAUAUCAACAAUCCAGCCACAUGGAGCCUCAUGGCAGUACCACUAACCCUGGUCACCACAUGAAUACUGACCAGAGGCAUUUCACCUGAAUCAACUGUUUGUGUUCUUAACUCCAUCUCCUCAUCUGCUUCCUGGAAGACCCAACUGACAUAGAUGGUUACAAGAAAUGAUUUCCUCCUUAUAAAACUCUAGAUGUCAAUGUGAUCUUUCACAAGCACACUGAAAAAUUCACACCGUGGAAAAGAACUAAAGUCCCAUCCUAAUUCAUCAGAGCCUUCUGUUUCCUGUAACAAAGAAGAACUCACAAGAUCAGGAUUCCAAGCAACUGCAACUGAACUCCUCUGUUCUGAUAAAUUAUAUUGCCCCAGCUUCCUCAUUUUAUAUUGCUGACCAUGUAUCUUCUCCUGAAGACCAAAUACGAAGAAAUACACAAGCUUCUUGUAUAGAAGAUACCUAAAAAGUGUUUGCUGAAUGAAGAAAUAAAGGAUUGCUCAGGCACCACUGGCACUUUAAGUUGUUCAGCAAGUACUCGUGCCUCUUAAGAACUGGCCAAGGGCCGGGCGUGGUGGUUCAUGCCUGUAAUCCCAGCAUUUUGGGACGCCGAGGCGGGCAGAUCACGAAGUCAGGAGUUCGAGACCAGCGUGGCCAACGUGGUGAAACCCCAUCUCUACUAAAAAUACAAAAACUUAGCCGGGUGUGGUGGCCUGCGCCUGUAGUCCCAGCUACUCGGGAGGCUGAGGCACAAGAAUUGCUUGAACCCACGAGGAGGAGCUUGCAGUAAGCCGAGAUCGCGCCAUUGCACUCCAGCCUGGGCAACAGGGCAAGACUCUGUCCUGAAAGAAAAAAAAAAAAAAAAAAAAAAAGAACUGGCCGAGGUCUUAGCUGGAGCACUCUCUCUACCCUGCAUGUUUGACUGCAUUUCUGUCCAUUUUCAAUCCGUUUUGGUUAUACGUUUUUUCACACAGGUCUGUUGAACUUAGAACACCGAAGGCCUGUGUAUUUUCAUGGCUCACAGCUCAUGUUGUGUUGACCUGCCCCACUGUGGUUAAUGUUUAGCCCCUAAACCACCAGCUGAAUGUCCUUAAAUCUGAAAGAAUAAUGAACACACGCCAACAGAUAGCUUAGGUUUAUUUGGUGACUUGCGCCACAUACUUUGCGAAUAUCAUCUCAGUCAUCCUUUUAGCAUCUCUCUCAGGCACAUACUCUCCUCUGUGGUGGCUCAUGCCGGUAAUCCCAGCCCUUUGGGAGGCCGAGGCGGGCAGAUCACUUGAGGCAAGGAGUUCGAGACCAGCCUGGCCAACACGGUGAAACCCCAUCUCUACUAAAAAUACAAAAAUUAGCCGGCUAUGGUGGCAUGCGCCUGUAAUCCCAGCUGCUCGAGAGGCUGAGGCAGGAGAAUCAUUUGAACCCAGGAGGCAGAGGUUGCAGUGAGCCUAGACUGCACCAUUGCACUUCAGCCUGGGUGAGACCCCAUCUCAAAUCAAUCAAUCAAUCAAUCAAUCAAUCAAUCAAUAAGGGAAAAGCUAUCACACAGCAGAAUACAGUCCAAGGGUAACUACUGAAGGGCCAGAUCAAGGAGCAAAGUCUAUCAUGUAUCAACCUUUACAGUGUCCCCAAGGGUCAGCUGUGUAUAGGGGCCCACACAGAAUUUGGAAUCCAAAUACAUCUCUGGAUCCCCAGGCCUGUGUUUGACUCGCCAGGUAGUAAUGAGAUGUCUCCAUUUUCUGCAGGCUGAAUGAUUCCCUCAGAGCAGAAGUAUAAGCAUAUUUAUUGUUUUUCCUUCUAUCAUAAACAGUUAUUAGUUGUGGCCCUUUCUCCCUUCCAAAUAGGUGCCCAAAUUUCUGGAAGUGGAAAGGGCCCAACUUUCCCAUAUCAGGGGGUGGGCCCCACUGGGCGUGAGCCAAUCAGUGUCUUCUGUCCUGUGAGCUCCCGAUUUAUGCUGGUCUAUAACCUGAGAUGGCCUUCUCAGGAUGGACCUCCAGGGAUUGCUGGAACUUGGACUCUUGUCAGCCUGGUAAAUGGUAUGUCUUAGAUCUGCUGCAGCCGUCGUGGAAAACUUGAAGCUGCCAGGAGAGAGGGGUUCCAACAUGUGGUGGCUAAAGAAUGAAUCCAACUCAAAGGAAGCAGAGCCAAGAAAUGGAUCCAUGCUGUUUGAAUCUUGGAUCAAAUUGUGCCUGGAUCUCCAGUGAGACAAUAAAUUCC